GUUAGAACAUGGUUAAAGUGCAGCUAAAGUUAAGUUAGCGAAACUACGGAUAAGCAACGUUUCCUUUUACUUCCAGAAAAAUAACAGCCUCAUAUUUGCUAUUUAUUAAAAAAUCACUGAAAGCGACACUUCCACAAAGUUUGUUUUAGUUUGUUGUUAUUUAUCAGAGCAGCAGCAUAUUUUCCACAGACAGUUUUACUGUCCGUUGUCUUGUUUUAAUCAGUUUUCGGUUCAGUAAUUCAGUCCUUCGGCUGAUUGGACCAACAGACACUGAAGGACUCCGACAGCUGGUCGGUAAUAAAUGAUAAUUUACUGAUCAGUGCCGGUUUUAAUGAACUUCAUGUUAAACUUCAGAGUCGGAUAUAAUGUGAGCAGUGAACCCCAGGAGUUGGUGGAGUUUAUUUGUGUGUGUUGACCAGAGAAGAGAGUUAGCAUCCAGUGAAUAUUAGCUUUAAUGUGAAUUAGCGAUGCUAACAGAGCUAGCUGACCAGUCCUGAUUAGCAGCUAAAUGUAGCAUCAAGCGAACGAUGUUUGUGUUGUUUCCUGUCAGCAGCUGAAGUGUGUUGUGUUACUGUAAUGUGGUUCAUUAAGUUCAUAAAACUGUGGCUGGUUGACGUUAAUGUAACGUUCAGGAAACUUAAAUGUGAUUAAAACAGUAACGUUAAUGUUCUAGUUGUCAGUAAUCAGCUUUAAUUUGACACUAAAACAGACUGAUAGUUUUAAAUGACAUCAGUUUCAUGAAUUUGUUGAAAAUUGUCUCAUUUGUUGUUGUGAUGUUGCUGCUGAUUCAUUAAAACCAGAUGAUCCGUGUUGAAGACAUGUUUAGUUCUAGUAUCAGAAGUACAAGAAGGAAAAUGGAAGUUUAAUUCUGCUACGUCAAAGAUUUCAGGAAUAAAAUAACUAAAUGAGUCUUUAUGCCCCAAACUUUAUUUUACAAUAAUGAAAUAAAGAAAUAAUCACAGAUAAUAAAAGUAUAAAUAGCAGAGAAAACCUGAGAGAAUAAUUUCCUGAAAAGUCUGUGAAGGAAAAGCAGCUUUUAUCCUGAAAGAUCAGAAUCAGCUCCAACAUCUGCAUCUGACAGCAUCAAGUCAACCAGAAAGAAAAGAAAAAAGAAAAUGACUUCUUUCUGAUCACAUCUGUUCCGCUGCUCACAGUCUGCUGCUGCUCACAUUCUUCACAUUUAUAGUCCACUUUUAAAAGUUCAGCAGACAGGUUCUCUGCUUUAGAGUGUGACGAUGUCAUCCGUGAUGUGGAGAGUGAAGUUUCUGUUUCACCCACAGCAUGCUUUAGGGCAGCUGGGUCGGACUUGAUGUUUGAAAUACUGACCGACAGCUCAGAUUUAACUGUCUGUAGUUCCGUUUUGAUGGAUGUUAAAUUUUCACUCAAAGCCGCCAGGAGCUGGGUCUUUAAAAUAAGCUCCGUCUCGUUACAGAGUGAAAGUAGCAGUUCCUCCUGAAGGUCAGAGAUUGCAGCAUCUGAGGGCCUCUUCAAAAGAAGACGUAGUUGAUGAAGGCGUUCUGGAGCAGGACCAGAAAGACCACGACCAAGCAGCCUUGAGAUCUUAGGCAGCGUCUCCCUCAGGUCCCUCUCUAUCUCCCCACACAUCCACCAACCACUGGAACACAUCUCCAAAGUUCUGCUGGACCAGCUCAGCUUCCCCUCAGAAGAAGUGCUGCCACCUGCCAGAUGAAGGAGCCUUUUGAGAGGCAGCUGGCAUCGUGAUUGGACUGUACUUUGGUCUGUUCCAAUCCAGCUUCAGCUCCAGAGACGGCAGGCGGGACGAGUCAACGGAGGCCGGAUGGACGAAGGCAUGCAGCUGAGUACAAUCUAGAAAACAACAGAGGAGGAGUACAGCAGCCCAGGACCAGAACAACCAGAGUAGCAUGACCAAAGAACUACAGACUCUUCACAACCUGCUCAAACUCUUGGUACAGGACCUCACCACACGGAUCAAGGAGGUUCCUGUCUCAUUUCUACUCUGAAGCUCACCUUCUCCUGCUCAAACUGCUGACAAAUGUUUCUGCUGCUCUAAAGUCUGGUCUCCAGAACUUCCUAAAAACUCUCAAAGUCUCUUCUGCUGCAGGCUGCUUUGUAGAACUGUUCCAGAAAACCUCACUAAACCACAUGGAGGGGCCUCAAGAUAGUCGUCCAAAUGAAACCGUACAAAAACCAAACUAGCACAACCCAAACGCUAAAGUCUCCUGCAGCCUACCAGAGAACCUCUGAGAACAGAGAAUCAGGACAGGAACUCUUACCUUCUGGACAACCAACGUUGCUUCACAAGAAUACAGAAUGUGUCUGACCAAAAACCUCUAAAGACUCACUACAGCCAAGAUAAAGACACAACUCACCUGCACCAAAUCCACUAAUCACUGCAGACAUUAGAACCAUGUGCUAACUGUGGCUAAAGAACCUCAUUUACCAAGACAACUAUCCAGUACAAAGCCCUAAAACACACCAAGAAACACAUUAAAGAUGGUUUUACUGCUGGAAUCUGCAAGCCAAUGCCUAAAAAACAAACUAAAGCAAUGGAGCCAAACCCGGUUCUGUGGUGGAGAGAAGCAGAGGAAAUGUUUGUCUGCAGCUAAAUAAAGCAGGAAGACAGUGAGCUGCUCAGGUGUUCCUGAUAACACCAAGCAGCCACCUGGACAGCCAAUAGGAACACAGCUUAUUGGAAGUCCAGAGGGCUGGGUUAGUGAAGGAACUUUAGUUUAAAGUUGAAGCAGAAAGUUAACAAAGAAAGUUGAAAACCACCUUCUGAUCCCUGAAAUCUCUGAGUUUUCACACAAAGAACACCUGAACAUGUCAAACUGGUUCCAUAGUAGAACCAUCAUUGUAAAAACGUCAUAGUAUGGUGUGUUGCUCAAAAAACAUUACGACCCAGCUGUCUAGGGUCACCGAGAAGCAACAUAAAAACAGGACAAACGCUGGUUUCCAGGGGGUUAGGAGGAUAUUUAUUUGAAAGAGGAAGUUUACAACAACAUAACAUGUGAGCAGAAAAAUCACAAAGUCUGUCUUUAGUUCAGCUGAAAAUAUUAGUUUAGUUUUUAGAGGCACAUGGAUUGUUUGUACAUUUAAUAACCGAGUCCUGAAAUAAAAUUACAGUUGUGGAUUUCUGUCAUUUAGUCUGGACUAAACAAAUAACAGCAGCAUGAAUCUCAAACAUCAUUAUGAGGAGUCUGGAUUGAAGUUUCUCACUUGAUAAUGAUCAAAACAUGAAAUUUAGGUUGGUUUAAAGGAAUAUUCCACCUUAAAUCUUUGAAUGUUGACCUAAAAGGUUGGUUUCAGGAAGUAUUCCACCUACAAGGUCCUCACACAUCCACCUUAAAGGAACAUUCCACCAAAAAUCCUUGGACAUGCACCUAAAAUGUUGGUUUAACCGAGUAUUCCAUCUAAAAUCCUCAGAGACCUGAGGGGCUGGUUAAAAGGAAUAUUCCACCUAAAACCUCAAAUAUAGACCUGAAAGGGUGGUUUAGAAAAAAUCCUUCAUUGUGGACCAAAAAAGUUAGUAUGGAGGAAUAUUCCACCUGAAAUGUAGACCUGAGAAGUUGGUUUGGAAGAAUAUACCAUCCUAAACAUCCUUAAAUGUAGACUAAAAGACGGUUUGGAAGAACAUUCCACCUAAAAUCCUCCAAUAUAGACCUAAAAGGUGAGUUUAAUGGUAUAUUCCACCUAAAAUUCACUACUGUAGACCUUGGAGGUUGGUCUGAUGGUUCCACCCAACAUCCUUGAACAUAAACUUAAAAAGUUCGUUCAAAGGAAUAUUCCACCCAAAAUCCUUCAAUGUAGACCAAAAAAAUCUUAGUGUAAAGGAGUAUUCCACCUUAAAUGUAGACCUAAAGGAUGGUUUGGAGUAAUAUUCUACUCUAAAAUCUUCCAAUGUAGACCUAAAAGGUUGAUCUGAUGGUAUAUUCUACCCAACAUCCUGGAACAUUUACCUAAAAGGUUGGUUUAAUGGUAUAUUCCCAGAAGAACCCUUGAACAUUGGGCUUAAUGGUAUAUUCCACCCAAAAUACUUGAACAUAUACCAAGAAGUCAGUGUAAAGGAAAUGUAGACCUAAAAGGAUUGUUUAAAGGAAUAUUUAAAGGAUUAUUUUCAUUAUUUAAUAAUCUGUUAUCUGUCAGAACCCUGGCAAACUUAUUUUCAUCAGUUUUUUUAGUGGAAGUCACAAAUAAAGGAGCUCUUGGUUUUUCCUGGCGUUACUGAGUCCAAAGCUGCUGUUUCAACACAGAACGUUCACAUGCAUCCACAAACCUCUCAGCACUCAAACACCCACAGACAGGAGGCCGGCUGGACCGAGGCUCGGCGGCGUCCUCAGACCCACGAGUCGGGGAGUCGCUGAACUUCUUGGUCCGGUUUGAAGGCCUCCGUGUGGUCCAGUAGAAGUCCACGUAGUCGGUGUUGGCUUUGAACCGCAGCGACUGGCCGCCAUCAGGUGGACCGGCUUGUCCUCGUAGGGCUCCUCCUGUAGCCUUGACGGAACCAGAGGAACAUUCAGUAGCUGUUGCAGUUCUUCCUGUCAGGCUCGUGGUAGAACGGCUCUGAAGAAUCUUGUACUUGUCUUAUCUGGAACAAUCUAACAGCCUAAACUGUUAACAGCGGUGGAAAGAAGCAAACACACAGGCAUAGAUUAGGACUCAAACUGGAUUUAUUUUAGAAAACAAAUCAGCUUAGAGGCAUUUGUUCACACGUGGCUGAAUAGGAGGCCGUCCAAUCAGAUUGGAGGUCUUCACUCUGUAGGUUGUUUGUUGGGUGAGACUCUGGGAUGAUUCAUCCAUGAAUUCAGCAGCUACAGACUGAAAUGAAGCUCAUGCUGCCGUGAUUGAAUUCCUGUUCCAGAUCAAAUGUUCAGAGCUCACCUUGAAUGCAGCCGUCUGCUGUCUGAUAGUUUUUCUCAUUGUAGUCUUCAAUAAAGUCUUUUUCCUCA